GAUGCCAAACAACUUGCCAGAGAGCCUG
rnacentral:piRNA from 1 species